GACGAACGCUGGCGGCGUGCUUAACACAUGCAAGUCGACGACGCUUUGUGAGCAAUCACGGAGUGGAGUGGCGCACGGGUGCGUAACACGUAUGCAAUCUGCCCUUAGGUUGGGAAUAACACGUCCAACGACGUGCUAAUACCGAAUAUUGUCAUGGCCUCGCAUGGGGUGAUGAUGAAAGCGGAAGUGCCAAAGGAUGAGCAUGCGUCCCAUUAGAUAGUUGGUGAGGUAACGGCUCACCAAGUCGACGAUGGGUAGCUGGUCUGAGAGGAUGAUCAGCCACACUGGAACUGAGACACGGUCCAGACUCCUACGGGAGGCAGCAGUGAGGAAUAUUGCGCAAUGGACGAAAGUCUGACGCAGCAACGCCGCGUGCGGGACGAAGGCCCUUCGGGUCGUA
rnacentral:rRNA from 1 species